AAAGACCUGAGAGGUGGAUGUGUUCAUGGAGCCCGAGCCUGGCAACAGUAGGAGAGGCAAGCAGGAGCCAGUCUUUACCUAGUGUUGAGAGGGAAAACACUCCUUUGGAUACAAAGAUCAAAGAGCAUAUUUCAAAAGGAAUAAUUUUUCAAAAGCCAAUAAAUUUUCUGCCACAUAGCUGAGUUAAAGAAAAAUCUCCACCAAGAUAUUCUGUCUACUUAAAAGUAAGAAACCACCACAUCUGCUAUGA